rnacentral:rRNA from 1 species
UUGGAGGGCAAGUCUGGUGCCGGCAGCCGCGGUAAUUCCAGCUCCAAUAGCGUAUAUUAAAGUUGUUGCAGUUAAAAAGCUCGUAGUUGAAUUUCGGGGUCAGUAGGUUGGUCAUGCCACUGGUAUGUACUGGUCUCACUGAUUCCUCCUUCCUGAUGAGCCGUAAUGCCAUUAAUUUGGUGUUGCGAGGAAUCUGGACUGUUACUUUGAAAAAAUUAGAGUGUUUAAAGCAAGCUAACGCUUGAAUACAUUAGCAUGGAAUAAUGAAAUAGGACGUUCGAUCCUAUUUUGUUGGUUUCUAGGAUUGACGUAAUGAUUAAUAGGGAUAGUUGGGGGCAUUAGUAUUCAAUUGUCGGAGGUGAAAUCCUUGGAUUUAUUGAAGACUAACUGCUGCGAAAGCAUUUGCCAAGGAUGUUUUCAUUAAUCAAGAACGAAAGUUAGGGGAUCGAAGACGAUCAGAUACCGUCGUAGUCUUAACCAUAAACUAUGCCGACUAGGGAUCGGAUGAUGUUAAUUUUUUAAUGACUCAUUCGGCGCCUUACGGGAAAC